CCGGGUGCCCUGAUGGUGCUGAGGCGCUCGCCGUCCCCGCGGCAGCCGCGACCAGGCCUCCUGGCCCCUCCCCCCGCCAGGUCAGCGACCCCGAGCCCGGGUGGGUCAGGUGCCCGCCUUCUGGGCCUGCCCUCUCUCCGUCUAGGGUGCUUGUGUUUUACCUGACGACUGGCCCAUCAGAUUUUGAGCUUCUUCGGAGGAGUGUAAAGGCAGCUUUUCUCCUGGAGAGCAAAGAAGAAACAGAUUUAAUGUUUUGCCCUCAAGGAGAUAAGCAAGCUCACUUCAACUAGGGAAGCUCAAGAUCUGACUGGCGCACGCGCAGACCAGCGCACCCGGGGUGCGGUCACCUGCACGGCGGCCGAGGCCACACCCUGCCCUCACCAGGGAGGAAGGGACGUCCGGCUGGCCAGACGCGGCUGAGUGAAGGCCCACCCCCACCCUUGUGCCAAGUGGGUGCCGACAGGGGCGGUGCCCUGGGCUGGGGGCUGGCUCAUCUCGGCUCUCCCUGGGGCGGGGCUGGGUGCCGGCCUGGGCAGGUGUCGCUCCAGGGCUGUGCACUGGCCUCCCACAGGAGGGCACCCCCGGCUGCCUGUCUGAGCUCUUGCUCCUGGACAGAGCAGGCUUCAGGGCUGGCCGAAGGGAUGUGUUCUGCACAAGGGCUCCCAGAACGCCUGGGGGCGGCGGAGAGCAGGCAAGGACCCUCGAGGGGACAGACGUCCCUUCACCAGGCCCUCGCGAGGUGACGAGCCUACCGCAGGACACACACAGACAGACCUCCCGCCCGGCCCCUGCGACGUGCCCCCUGCUGCGCGUCUACACUGCCGCCUUGGCGUCCGCAGCUACAACUGUACCUGCUCUGCUCGCCGCCCUGAGAAACGACCGCUCAGAGAGUCCCCAGAAUGCACGUGCCUUGUGCCAACGCCCCUUCUGCACAUCUGGCCCCACCCCAGCCCUGGCCUGGACCUCGCCCUGAGCCAGCCCUGCCUCCCCUGCAAGGCCUCCCCAAGCUGACCUUCCAGGAUCACAGAAUGCAGUGCCAGAAGGUUCUGUGGGGGGCAGGCUCCACACCCAGCCCAAGCCUGAUGCGGGGCUUGAACUCACGACCCUGAGAUCAUGACCUGAGCUGAGAUCACAAGUCAGACGCUCAACUGACUGAGCCACCCAGGGCGUCCCAUCUGGGCCUCAGUUCUUAGGUCAAAAACCCAAAAGAAGACCCGUUCCCCCGCUUCUCCCUUCAGCACUGGGGUGGAAGUCACGUGAGUAAAUUUUUCUGGGUGGAGGUCACAGAAGUCAAAUCUUCCCUGUCAGCGGUCACUUUGACAUUUUAACACGUUCAUCUUAAGUCUAACCUCCGUACCUCUGCCUCUUCUGGGGUGACACGGUGACCGGCAGAAAGUCCGAAUCCCCUUGGUCCACCCGAAGCACACGUCAGCUGUCUCUGUCCAUCUGUUCUGUUAACGCCACGAGUUAGGCAGCCUUGUUGUAGGCGUGCACACAACUGCUGCUUUUGUUCACCUGAAUGUUUACGUCCUAACGCAGUCACAACCGCCACUAUUUCUUGGCCUGUUCUUAUGUGAAUGAAACAAGUCCCUCUUUCCCGCAUCUCUAGUCUUCCCUCCGCGGUCACCGUCCUCCCGAAGGGCCAGGCCUGUGGGUCAUGGCUGUGAGUCUGAAAAUGCUUGCAUUUCGGUCCUUGGAAGAUGCUCGUCAGACAGAAGCCGGGCUGACAGCUACUCCGCCGCGCCACGACCUCUGGCUUCCGGGGGGGCUGCUGAGAUGCCCCACGCUCGUGCUUGCUCCUUGGGAGCAUUCCCUUUCUGACUACUUCGGAGUUUUGCUUUAGGUCUUGAUGUCAUGCGGUUUUAGAUACGUAUAAAGUGCAUUUCUUUUUGCUUAUCUUGUUUGGGAAUUCUUGGGAUUCCUGAAUGUGGGGCUUGGUUUCUUUUAUUAAUUCCGAGAAAUUCUCAGUGCUUAUCUCUGACAAUCUUCCCUCAUUCCGUGUGGGGACCUCUUCUUGGGGCUUCGAUGGGAUGAAUGCAGACUCUGCCUUGGAGGGCAGGCUGGGCGGAGGUCAGCAGGCGGCUAAUGGCUCCGCAGGACAGGGGGCCGACAGAGUGCCCCUGGGGUGGGGGCAGGGAGACAGGGACGACCUAAGGCGAGCUGGCCUCCUGCUUUUCCCACUGGGGACUUCAGGGGUCCGGUGCGUGGGUCCCUCUCCAUGUAUCCGAGCUACAGGGUCCUGAGGAAGGAGCAGGGCCGAGGUGAGGCCCAGCAGCAGGCGGCCUGGGGGGCGCAGGCUAUGCUCCCCACCGUUGCCACUGUGAGGUGCCAGGAGCAGCCUCUGCGCCAUCCCCACGGGGCUCCAGAGGUGACUGGCGGUCAUCAGGGCAGUUCCUGCACCCCCAGGGACAUGUGAGUGGACAACUAGGACCUGAGGUGCCUCUUCUCACUGAUGUCUUCUACUUCUGUUGUGACUCCCGUGGUACUGUCUCCUGCUACGGACUCUGAAGAGCACGCUUCCUGGAGCUCCGGGUCCCUGGGCGUCGCCGCCAGGAGCCAGUGGCUCUUCAGCUCGGGUGAUGUCCCUUAAAUGAGGGCGCGCUAUGGAGGAGUGAUCUGGACCCUCUGAAGACCAGCAAAGAAGAAUCGCACAUGGGGGCGGUCUGAGACCGACGCGUCCCUGCCGUGUGGUCACGUGGAGUAAGAGAAGAGACACAGCCACUGGGCGGGCAGAGGACGGGGAGGUUCCCACAUCCGAGUCCCUCUUGCGUCCCCCACAUCCGAAGCCACGCAGACCUGGGCCGGCUGUGCGGAGGUCAGCGCAGCAGCCCCUGGCUCUGGAGUCCGGCCAGGCCUGGGCCCACCCUCCCCACACCUGGUGUCCUGGUGCCUCUCCUGGUAGGUCCAGGAGGAUUCGGGCUGAACAGGUGAGCGGCAGGCAGGACCCUGCAGGGAGCCGCAAGUCUCCGGGUAGGGUGACCGGAACGCGCUCGUCAACACCAGGCCCAGAGAAACACGUACGGUCUAGUUCUGUAGAAAGUCACACUCAGCGCUAACGAACGUGUUUUCUCACAGUCUGCAGCUCGGGUCACAGGCCGCUGGAGAGUCCUGUGCUGUGUGUCAGCCACCGUGGCUCAAGCGCUUAAACAGCAUUCAGUGUAUUACAGAUAAAACAGGGCUUCCCACUAUUACCCUAUCUGCGUUCUGCGACAAAGCCUUUAAAAUCCCUACUGAGUAACACUGAACUCAAGUAAAAGCUGCCUUCCCGGCCGCCUUCACCGACGUCACCAGACCGUGGCUUUAUUUUUGUUUGGGACGUCAGUAAGAUUGUCCAGUCUUCAACGUCUCGAGCCUGCAAGCCACACGCUUCUCAGGGCUCUUGUGACUGAGUCCCAGCAGCUGCCUGGCCCUGGGGGCCAGUCACACAGCAGAAGGUCGCACAGAGAGCCGUUUCCUGACAGUCGACUAUCUCGAGGCUCUACCACGUGUAAUGAGGCAAUUACGCAACAGGGAUUAUUAAUCAGUUUAACCAACCUGAGAAAAAACCCUGCAUAACAACCCGCUUUUAAGAGAUUCUGAGAAAAUCACAAGAAUGACACAACAGCCAAGUAAUAUAGAAACCAGUCAGCCAGACCGAAGGCCUCAGCCUCCGGCAGGUGCGCAUGCCCACGGCCCUGGGAACUGCAGGCCAGAGACGCCUCCCUGUCAGCUCAGAGGCCGCAUGAAACCCCAGGCCAUCGUCGUUGGGUCUGUGGCUCCCGCCUCAACCUCAGAGCUGUUCUCUGGGGUCAACUGCCCUUUACCAAGGGCCACACCCCUGUUUUCUGAGUUCCUGAGCUUUCAAAAAGACGACGAGCCAGGUUUUCCAGUCCACACUUAUGCACGUGCCUGCACGUCCAGCGGCACAAGACCAUCGGGCCCCGUGUCAGACGAGGCCUGUGCCACCCCAGGGAUUAGGCCUGUGACCCACUUGGUUUCUGCUCUGAUUUCCCAGCACCCCCACUCAGGGCCGUCUGUGAGGAGCCGUGGAGCCCAUCAGAGCACCCGACCCACCCCCACGGGCGCUUCCACUCUGCACGGCAUUCCUGUGCUGGGACGGGCCACCCCUUCUCCCAGGCUCUAACAUCUGCACCCCCUCAUGGGUGCAGUGGGUGGUCGCCCAGGUGACGAGGGACGGGGCAUCACCCACCUGGAGCUCCGGGGCCUGCCCCUGCCUGCUGUGGGGGGUCUUAUGGACCAACCCCCACUGCUCCCUCCUUCUCUCGGGCAAUGCUGUCAGCCUUCCUACGCUAUGAGACUUCAAACAGGUUUUAAAGCUGCUGAGGGUUCUUUUGAGAAGGCUGAGUGGGUUCACACCUUCCCCACCUCCCCCACUCCUGGGGUCUCUAAGAAACACAGAAGGCAGAGCACCCCUGGUAACAUGGAAUGGGACGUGGGGGUCACUAGCAGAGGCCAGGCUUUGACACGUGUCCUCAGGGGGGAUGUCGAGGUGGCUGUGGGCUCGGCUGGGCGGGCAGGGGACGCGAGUGAGCAGGUGGGCAGAAGGCGUGUCACCGCACCAACCGGCUGAACUCAGACAGCUGUGCCCCUGCCCGGCUUCUACCCAGCAAGGAGUUAGGGCCCUCGCAGCAUGUUCUGGGCAGCAGGAGGACAGCUUCAGGAGUGGGGGUGGCCACGGGCAGACAUGGGGACUAGAGAUUUAGCAUUAAGGUAGUCCCCCCUGGGACCACUGAACGUGGACUCGGGGUUGUUCCGGGGGCAGGGAGAGCCUCCCGCUUAGCCGACUCUGCCCCUGCGGGAUUCUUCCAGAGGAGCAGCCUUGGCCAUACCCCUGCUCUCUCUGAGGGGCUCCCCGCGACGGCAGCAAGCUCUUACUGAGACUCGCUUCGCUCUGGAAAGCCUUUGCCUGCUCGCCUGCUCACCUAGUCAGCACGCAGGGGUUCGCAGAAGACUCGAGCACCCGUCAGCCUGGCGGCCCUCCCAGAUGCGCGUCUCGGGUCACGGAGAAUGCAGGCGGGAAACGCUUUCUCGGGAGAGGCCGUGAAGCUCGGCAAGUCUCCGGGUAGAGAAAACAGGCUUCUCCCGGCGGACUCCAGGCGCGCCGCGGCUGCUAGAAGCAGCACCGGGUGACCGCUGGCUCGGCCCCCUUGCCCUGACCUGGUCCCUCCCCUCCUCUCUCCCUCCCUUCGAGACCAGCUCCUGCAGGCCUCUGGCCCCUGGCGCACGUCGAGAUCCCUGUGGAGGGCUGGCCCUGGAUCGCGCCUGCUGCCCUGUAGUUGCCACACACUGUCCCCUCAGUUCCUGGGCCCCUGCACGGUGCAUUUUCAGGUGUCCCCAUCCUCAACUCUGACACGGUACUCAAACGGUGACGCGCUCGGGGAUGGCUGAGUAGCCCAAUGGUGGAGCGCGCGGCUUCAACACCGCAGGGAAAACCAAGGUCCCUCCCGUUGGCUUCUGACCUCGGGUGGGGAGGCCUGGGGGCGCCACGAGUGUUGCGCGGCUCCGGAAAGUGCAGCCUUACCGGACGUUCAAACAUGCUCUCCGGCAUCUCUUAGAGCACCUGUCUGAGAGCAUGUCGCCUGACUUGCCAGGCGGGCGGAGGGCACCCCGCGGUCCCUGCCCACUGGGGCGAGUGCCCGGCAAAGCAGCCCUGCGGCCGCCGCCUGAGGCCCUGUGCACGGAGGGAAGCCCCAGAGCGCAGCGGCAGUGAGAGCAAUUUGACGUCAGGCCAAGUCCUCCACACGCGCAGAAUUAGUGCUAAGAGGUUAAAGGUUACUCAAGGUCAUAUGGAAACGACACAGGUCAGGAACACCGAGAGAGCGGUAUUAAUAUUAUUGUGUAAUAUUAAUAUUAGUAGCGAGUAACAGCAGCAUGCAGGGGGAGGGGCAACGAGAAGAGAAGGUGGGGGGCAGAGUGGAGACUCACAUCUGGGUGGGGGAUGGCGUACUGUCCCUGGAUCGUGUAGGCCUAGAAACAGAGAGACACCGUCAGCUCGGGAAGCGGCCAGCCAUGCUGUGCCCACCGGUGGCCCUCCCCCGGGGACGAGGGCUUUCUCGGGACUGUGACUUCCUAGGAACAGGCCCAAGGCCCCAUGGUCAGCGCGCCCCGCCUUCCCCAGCAGCCUAGGGCACUGGGAGGUGCAGAGAGGGGGAUCUUGGCGCUGAGCCUCACUGGCGCCCACAGGGGUGGCCGGGGCCACCCCCAGACGCAGGAGCCCGGGGAGCCACAGCCCAGGCACGGACAGCCACAGGCCGGGCAGUCAGCGGGGAGAGCGAGAAGGCCCCCGCUCCCCGGGGUUCUUCAAAGAAAACCCCAGUAAAGGAUGGAAUCCUGUUAGAGACGAAUUGUUAAGCUUUUGAAACUUCCAUCAGCUUUCAGAGUAAACACUUUUACAAAGUAUUUAUCCCAAGAAAAGCGAACCAAACAACCUUUCUGAAGGCAGAUUAAGAAAUGCACCAAAUCAGUCACAAGAGGGACUGACCGGUCUUGUGACCUCAGAGGGCCGCACAGCCAUUCUCACAGGGGGCUGCACGUGCUCGGCCCCACUCCCUGGGGGCCAGCGUGGGUCCCUGAGGCUUCAGCUUCAAGAGAGAUUCCGACCAGCCACGGCACGAGUGUGGACCCGUGCCCCCACCCCGCUCCUGCUUCAACAGUCCACCGGCUAGGGUGUUCCCAGAAACGUCAUGGCCAAAGACAAACGAACCACAAAGUGUCAAGGGAGAGCAAAGACCGAGGACUUGUCAGGCCUCACGUGCUGCGGCGUGGAACUUGCCACGCCCGCCCUGGGCCGCGGCAUUGGAGGCCCCCGGCGGGAAGGCCCAGGUGCGGAGGGAUGUGGCUUCCUGCCCCUGGCCAUGUGGGUCCUCGUGCACAUGCUGAGUGGACCCGUGAUGCCCACCUGUGUCCGCACGUGUGCACCCACAGAGGGAGACCCCAGGUCAGUCCGAGUGCCACUCCCACGGACUCCACACUGAGGGGCGGCCUCCGAGUUUCCGUCCAACCACGGCUUUUGAAUCUGCCCAGAGUUUUGGUCAUAAACAACCCAACCUGGGAGUUGAAGGUCAGCCAAGCCCUGGAGAGCGACCACGGGAGGCAAAGCCCCAGUCUGGGUCGGGGUCCGCCAACGGCGUUCCAGGAGAAGUAAAGGGAUCUUAUCAGAUGCAGCAGGAGGCUAAGGGGACCGUCCCUCCCCCUGGACUUCUGUCCACGGAGCAGCCAGACCUCGCAGUCAAGGUCUGUAGAGAUGCCACGGGGCAGGUGCCCAGUGGGUCACCAUGUGUACCAGGCCCCGGGACACAGGCUGCGCCCACUGGGCCAGGCAGGUCUAUGGAGGUUGAGGCCAGCUCCCCGCGUGGGCCCACACGCCCGAGUGAACCCCACACGCUACCCAGCAGUGCGGCUCCUCCUCCUAGGCAUUUCGGACUUCUCUCUUCCUCCGAGGGAAUUCUUAAUUCUCCCUGAAGCGCAUGGGCAGUUUGCCAGGCCCUCCGGACAGCGGUGACAUCCGGACAGAACAGCCGGACGGACAGAGUUCCGUCUGGAGGAGACCGUCACCCUCUGUGAGUGGCCUGAGGUGCACGGCUGGUGCUCCCUGGCGGGCCCACAGCGAGGAGCGUCUCCGGAGGUCAGUUGGGGAGGGGGCGCUGGCCAUGACCCUUAGGCCUGGGCUCUGCGGCAGGUGGGGGUCUGGGCUCCGAGGGCCCCGUGGCCGCACUCCAUCUGUCACAGCCCAUUGCUGAGCAUGUGGGGUGGCUCCUCUGUCCCACAUAAGCAGGAAGAGCCAGGGGGGAGGCCAGACCAUCCCCGGGACACGCGUGCAGGGCCUACAACAAGGAUGACACGGAGGGCCGGGGCUCUGCUGGGCUUGACCCGUGGGGCGUCCCGGGCUCCCGUGUAUCCCUGUGCCUCCCUUUGGAAUAAAGACCUGUGCUCCACCACACGGUGUCACCACGGGUUUGUGCACGUGUCAGGGAAAGGACACAGGGCUCUGAACAAGGGCCCCUGACUGCCUCUGGCCUGGCCUUCCGACCUGUGAAAUGGGGGUGCGCACACAUCUUGGGGCUGCCGUAGGAGGGCACAGGGACAUGAAGGGUCCAGACAAAGGGCAGGGCUGCUGGGAGACUGCAGGGCUGAGGAGGGCUG